rnacentral:lncRNA from 1 species
AACCCGGAGUACCAUUCUCCGGCCACUCACUUCCUCCCCACUCACCAUCUCAUUCCAACUCCCCCAUGGCUUCGGUGCACGCCACGCCUCCUCACACCUUCACUUCCUUCACCACUGCAAAGCGAGCUCCGGCCCCCUCUCCUCCGCGCGCCUUCAUCAAUUUCCACGCCCCGAAGCUUCCAGAGCGUUCUAUUUUCUCCACAAUUGGGCGGAACUCGAAUUGGGCCUUGAACUCGGCUGUGGAAGAGUUCGAUGUUAUCCCGGUGCAGAGUUCUGAUUUUACCGACCAACAGGAAGGGGUGGCGCUGGGUCGGGCGGAGAGGGAUGGCGCGGAGGGAGAGAUGGGGACUGCGGUUGGUGGAUUCGGCGAGCUCUCGUUGGGAGGCGCUGGUGAAAUUCAGGGGUUUUCUUCUUCUGCUUCUGUUGCCGAUG